GACGAACGCUGGCGGCGUGCCUAAUACAUGCAAGUUGAGCGCUGAAGGUUGGUACUUGUACCAACUGGAUUAGCAGCGAACGGGUGAGUAACGCGUGGGGAAUCUGCCUUUGAGCGUGGGACAACAUUUGGAAACGAAUGCUAAUACCGCAUAAAAACUUUAAACACAAGUUUUAAGAUUGAAAGAUGCAAUUGCAUCACUCAAAGAUGAUCCCGCGUUGUAUUAGCUAGUUGGUGAGGGUAAGGCUCUCCAAGGCGAUGAUACAUAGCCGACCCGAGAGGGUGGUCGGCCCCAACGGGAAUGGGGCCACGCCCAAACCCCUAAGGGAGGCAGCCGUAGGGGAACUUCGGCCAUGGGCGGAAGUCUUGACGGGGCACGCCGCGGUAGGGAAGGAGGUUCUCCGGACGUUAAACCCUGUUUGUAGGGAAGAACGAUGGUGGGAGGGAACAGCGCAUCAAGUGACGGUACCUACCCAGAAAGGCACGGCUAACUACGUG
rnacentral:rRNA from 1 species